GGGGCCAUAGCUCAGCUGGCUAGAGUGCUUGACUGGCAGUCAAGAGGUCGUGGGUUCGAGUCCCAUCUUCUCCA
rnacentral:tRNA from 1 species